GGAAAUGACGCCAGGGGAUGCAAACCCUUCUGCCCCUUUUUGCUACCCCUGAAGCUUACUGUUAGUGGUCGAGUUUUUCUGGAAGUGGGCUUCCGCGAUCGCGGGGACCAACGCCCUGAGCUCUUGUGCCCAAAGGGGAUCGCCAGGUUUUUUGAUGCGGAUCGAAAGGGACUGGCCCCGGAGCCUACAACCUGACGCAGGUGGGACUUGGGGAAAUGUCGAGAAACCUAGGUCUGGGACUUGAGUUGGCUUCCAGGGCACACAUUCUUGUUCAGAAGAAACACAUUGCAAAAAUCGGGAGGUGACGGGCAGAUGAAGUGUCGGCGCUUCGCCUCGGGACUCCAGUGCAACCUAUGGGGCUUUUGGAAAUGAGGAAGUCGAUGACUCUGCAGGGACUCCUCUGACCCAGGAGCAGAUGGCGCUCGUCUGGGCACUCCCCAGGAGAAAAGGUGCAUCGGGAAGCAGCCUGGCUUGUGGAUGGUGGACAAGGUGGAGGAGAGAGAAUUCCUUGGCAGUAGCAUUAUGAACAAAUGCAGGGCUGAGAAACAGCAUGGUGGCCUUGACUAAGUUUAUGGCGACAGCAGGAGCCCUCUACCUUCGCAAUUCCCGGUGCUGUGGAGCUGUCAGAGUUUUAACAUCUCAACCAAGCCACAUGGAUACUAUUUCCUCAGAAAAGACAAAAUUGAUCCAAGCAGAAGAGUGAACUCACCGAAGAGGACUCUCUACCCAUAACUGGGGAUGCCUCAGCCACUCACACUUACUCCAAGAUUAGUGUCACUGAUUAUGGAAAGAAUUGACUUCUUCCCCUGGUCUUGCUCAUUUUUCUAGAGCCCAGGACAAUAAAUGUGUUUUACGGCAGAGAAAAGUGAAGACGGGUGGAAUUGUGUGUGUUGAGAGAGAAGCAGAUAGGCAAUCUUACGCUUUGGCUCCUAGAUUAUGCAGGUGCCUCUUUUCUAUCAUCUCCAUAAAUCCUACCCUUACUGCGCUUCCUAUUCUGCAGGGGUAUUUUGUUGUCCGUAACAGAACUCCUCCUCUGUCUGUAAAGUUUAGGUUUUGAUAAAAAAUCCUCUUCCCUCCAGAAGCGUCUACUAAAAAUACAAAAAAAUUAGCUGGGUGUGGUGGCAUCCACCUGUAGUCCCAGUUACUCAGGAGACUGAGGCAGGAGAAUCGCUUGAAACUGGGAGGCGGAGGUCGCAGUGAGCCAAGAUCAUGCCACCGCACUCCAGCCUGGGUGAGAGUGAUACUCCGUCUCAAAAAACAAAUGAACAAUAAAAAACAAACAAAAAA
rnacentral:lncRNA from 1 species